AGCUGACAUCAAAACAGAUGACUUUGGCUUUUGAUGACUAAGAAGAUAGUUUGUACAGCAAAAAGAUCCUGUGUGACUAUGCAUUAAUUAGCAGUUUUGGAAACUAGGAUGGAAAUAAUGAUUGAAAGGGUUGGCCUAAUACCGAAGGACCUGUAGAGAAACCAAGUGACAUGAAACUUUAAGUAGUGUAAAAAAAAAUCCCAGUGAAAAAUCCUCCCCUCUGAACCAUGGCUGAUCAAAUGUGGAACAGACAUAACUGCAUCAAAGAAGCAUUCAGUGUCCUUAGCACCAUGGACAUGAAGAUGAGACAGAGAAGCACACUACUUCGUCAUAAGUUUUUAGAUCCUUAUCGUGGUUAUUCAGAAGACAUGUCAACUCAGCCAGAUUGUAGUUUGAAAUUCAUUAACAACAUAAAUUGUAGAAGAGUUAACCGCUGGCUGACACAUAAAAUACCAGAGGUGGUAGCUUUGGAAGACAUCUUCCCUUCAGAAGACCAAAAGUUCCUCCAUACAUCUUCAAACUGGGUCUCCCCAGCAACAGAAACCCAUGAUGAUGUUUCUAUGGAAACAGUAAUCGAUUUUAAAAUGCCAGGGGAUACAAUCUGUAAAGAGAAGAUGGAUUUUCCAACAAGACUUGUAAUGUCAUUUGAACUACCUAGGAACUCUGAAGUAAUUGCUGAUGCAAUGUGGCCGACACCUGAUCAUUCCUUACUUAUGGAUAUUGAUCCUUCAAAAUCCAGGGGAUUCCUAGAAAGCCCAGUCACAGCUGCUCUGCAACAACCCAUGCUAACAGAGUGUGAGGGUGACGUUACCAUGUGUGAGCAACCAAUAAUCAAGAGCAAACAAAUAUUUCCAAUUCUAGAGUUUGUUGGUGAAAAAUUAAGAGAAAAACUGCAUGUUGACCUAAACUGAGAUACAGCAGAACCCCACAGAUGUCUGCUUCGGUUACCAGAACCAAUCCUGAUGGGGGCAUCUCUUGGAUCCAACACCUUUGGUUCCAGUGAAGAGUUUGGUGCAAGAUAUGAUUAGUUCUAGCAGAGCCAAGCACUACUCUGGGUCCCCCUUGGAUCCCUCAGGUGACCCAUCAUUCAGAUAAUCGAGUCCUGAGACUAUCAUCUGUCGCCACUUCACUCUGAGCAUCAAUGAUCUUUCACAGCUUCAACUAUGGAUAACUUUUAAAAUAUCUCAGAUGAAAUAAAGCAUAAAGAAACAAA